rnacentral:rRNA from 1 species
CCUACGGGAGGCAGCAGUGGGGAAUUUUGCGCAAUGCUCGUAAGAGUGACGCAGCGACGCCGCGUGAAUGACGAAGGCCUUCGGGUCGUAAAGUUCUUUCGGCAGGGAAGAAAAUGCCUGUAAGUAACGGUGGAUGUAUUGACGGUACAUGUAUCAGCAGCCCCGGCUAACUCCGUGCCAGCAGCCGCGGUAAUACGGAGGGGGCGAGCGUUGUUCGGAGUGACUGGGCGUAAAGAGCUCGUAGGCGGUGUUUUAAGUCAUUAGUUAAAGACUAGAGCUCAACUUCAGUAAGGCUAGUGAUACUAUAGUACUAGAGUAUCAGAGAGGAAUGCAGAAUGCAUGGUGUAGCGGUGAAAUGCGUAGAUAUCAGGAAGAACCCCGAUAGCGAAGGCAGCAAUCUGGCUGAAAACUGACGCUGAGGUGCGAAAGCGUGGGUAGCAAACAGGAUUAGAUACCCGUGUAGUC